rnacentral:rRNA from 1 species
UACGUAGGCGGCUUUGUAAGUUAGAGGUGAAAGCCCGGGGCUCAACUCCGGAAUUGCCUUUAAGACUGCAUCGCUUGAAUCAUGGAGAGGUGAGUGGAAUUCCGAGUGUAGAGGUGAAAUUCGUAGAUAUUCGGAAGAACACCAGUGGCGAAGGCGACUCACUGGACAUGUAUUGACGCUGAGGUACGAAAGCGUGGGGAGCAAACAGGAUUAGAUACCCUGGUAGUCCACGCCGUAAACGAUGAUGACUAGCUGUCGGGGCGCUUAGCGUUUCGGUGGCGCAGCUAACGCGUUAAGUCAUCCGCCUGGGGAGUACGGCCGCAAGGUUAAA